ACCACUUGACAAACCCUUCAUCACUACUCAUCCAAAACGGAUGUCCAGGUACACUGCCUGAAAAUCUGCCUAGUUGGAGGAUUUUGCCUCAACUCUGCCUCUCAGGAUCACUUCUGAAUAAGACUGUAUUUAGCAGCAAUUUUUGGUGUUUACUAACAUAUUGAGACAACAUCACUAUGAACCAUUACAUUGGAACCACUGUGAGAUAGAUAGAUGAGUCCACUGAGGCACAGAGAAGUUGAGUAACUUGUUGAAGAACCACAAUCCUACCCAAAUCAAUGAAUUUCGCUUUCUCAGGACUGAAAAGCCUGCCAGGAGGCAAGAGAGGAGACAACGAGAUAAAAGUCUGGUCACUUCUUCCCAAGGAUGGCUUCACAAAGGUGGUGGCUGAAGCCCCCUUCAGGCCAGUUCAGGAGCUACUUCACUCUGCUUUACUCAUAAAUAAUUUCAACUCCCUGAAGCUCCUUAAAGUAAAGGGACAAAGACAGCCAACGCCCUUAAUAGAGCCAGCU
rnacentral:lncRNA from 1 species